rnacentral:rRNA from 1 species
UACAGAGGUCUCAAGCGUUGUUCGGAUUCAUUGGGCGUAAAGGGUGCGUAGGUGGCGCCGCAAGUCGGGUGUGAAAUUUCGGAGCUUAACUCCGAAACUGCAUUCGAUACUGCGGUGCUUGAGGACUGGAGAGGAGACUGGAAUUCAUGGUGUAGCAGUGAAAUGCGUAGAGAUCAUGAGGAAGACCAGUGGCGAAGGCGGGUCUCUGGACAGUUCCUGACACUGAGGCACGAAGGCCAGGGGAGCAAACGGG